CUGAUCAGAGCCUGAGAGAGCUGAGCCACAGCCCACCCAGGGACUGGCUGGGUUUGGCAUCUCUUCAGAAUGGCAAGAGUUUUAUUGUUUAAUAUUGUUCAAUUUUUUUGUGCUGGUGGUGAAUGCUUUGCCUGUUAAAUAAACAGUUUUUUCCACUUUUCUCCAAGGAAAUCUUUUCCCGAACCAGUUGGGAAGGGGCCGCUUGAAUUUGCUUUCUAGAGGAACCUCUUUGGAGGUUUCCUCCCACAUUUGCCCUAAAUCAGGACAACUUGUCCUUGCACAAUUAGGCUUCAGAGUUCUUCCAUAUGAAGCAGUGUGAGCUGCAAUCCAGUGGUGAAGGCUGUGUUAGCAAACCUUCUCUUACCUAUCAGCAGAAGUUUUUCACAGAGGGUGAAAAGCAAAAUGGGAAGGCUACAUUGCACAUCCAGGAUGAUUCUAAAUUAUUUUGCUGCCUGCCUCUACAAGCAAGUUCUCUCCUGAUUCUCAUACAGAAGAUGAAUGACAGUGUCCCUGGAGAGGAUUAAAUUCCAUAAGUGCUUAACCAAGUUUCUUGCCUUAGAUUUGCUCCUUCUCAUCCUCUGCAGCAUCAUGUGAUUUCAGGGAGUGAACUGAGAGAUGAGUUUGUCACAAAGGCUCUGAUUUGUAUGUUCUAAUGGUAUCAGAGGACUUCUGGAGGGUGCCACUGUAUUUGCUUGCCAUUUAAUCAUCAGCCAAUUUCAUUUUGCCCUGAGCGCCCACGAGCCUGUGUGAUACAAAGGAUGUGCAAGCCCUAGGAACCACAUCAAACAGGAGAGGGGUGCUCUGUCCAGGCUUGCCGGCUGUACCUACUGAAUGAAACACGCUCAAGCAUUUCCUGAGAAAGUCUGAACACAUGGAAAAGGCCCAGGGAUCAGUGAUGUCAGAGGCUCAGUGAGACCUAACACUUGAGAGCCCAGUACUGGGGAAUGACUGACCCACAGUGAGCUAAUAUGGAGGGCUGCCAACCUUUUUGUACCCUGAAUGGAUCUCCAAGACUCUACCUUAAGGCCUGACCCAAGCUGUGAUCCUUCCAGCAAGGACCCCACCGUGAGGGGAUGGAGAGAGCUCUGUGUGUCAGCCCUGCUCUGGAGGCUGAGCUGGGAGUGAUAAUUAUCCCAUUUUUAUGUCCUGUGAGCAGUGACUGCCAAUUCUCCAAGGGCUGAGACACAUUUUCCCCAGGAGCGCGAUGUCCAUUGUUACCAAGCUUCCAUUUUUACAAAGGAAACGUUUUCAGUUCCAUUUUCUCCCUGUAGUGGAAGAAGAAAAUAAUGUA